AACCCGCAAACCCUCGCCUCCUCCGAAACACUACACACAUAAACCAAAAACUAUCUUUCUCUCUCCCCGCUGCCAAUGGCCAGCCCAGUAACAAUGACGAAGCUAUUCAAAAACUGCAAGUCUCUUCCUAUCCAUCUCCUCCGUGGCUCCAGUAGCAUCCCAAUGGAAACCAAGAUUGUUGGCAAGAGACCGAGCCCUAUCUCUGUCCAGUAUUUCCUCGGGAGUCAGCCUAAUCUUGGCUCUGUUCAUCAUGGUACUAUUAAUGGCACCAACACGCUUCUGCUGUCGAGAUUUCAUGGCUCUAAAGGUUACGGUCGGAGGAAAUAUCCAACCGACGGCGACGACGACGACGACGACGAUGAUGAUGAUUUAGUUGGAGAGGAUUUUGUUGACGACUAUGAGAAUGAUGAUAAUGAGUUUGAUUUUGAUGAUGAUGAUGAUGAUUAUGAUGAUGCUCCUGCUAAGAAACGAAACAAAUGAAUGUAAGAUUUGGAAUGCUUGA
rnacentral:misc_RNA from 1 species